CCUCCCUCUGUAAACGCUCCCUUCCCGACCGACUCCAGUAGUUUUGGGAAUGCUGCUCUAAAUGGGAGGCAUAUGUCUUCUAAAGCUAAAUACCGGCCCGAGACCGAUAGCGCACAAGUAGAGUGAUCCGAAACAUGAAAAGCACUUUGAAAAGAGGGUUAAAUAGUACGUGAAAUUGUUGAAAGGGAAGCGCUUGUGACCAGACUUGGGCCCGGUGGAUCAUCCAGCGUUCUCGCUGGUGCACUCCGCCGGGUUCAGGCCAACAUCAGUUCGCCGCGGGGGAAAAAGGCUUCGCGAACGUGGCUCCUACGGGAGUGUUAUAGCCCGUUGCAUAAUACCCUGGGGCGGACUGAGGUUCGCGCUCCCCAAGGAUGCUGGCGUAAUGGUCAUCAGCGACCCGUCUUGAAACACCGACCAAGGAGUCGUCCUCGUAUGCGACUGUUCGGGUGUAAAACCCCUCCCCGUAAUGAAAGUCAACGCAGUGACAGCUUCGGCGCAUCAUCGACCCAUCCUGAUGUUCUCGGAUGGAUUUGAGUAAGAGCAUACGGGCCCGGACCCCGAAAGAAGGUGAACUUAUGCCUGUAUAGGGUGAAGCCAGAGGAAAACUCUGGUCGAAGCUCGCACCGCUUCU
rnacentral:rRNA from 1 species